rnacentral:lncRNA from 1 species
CCGACUUAGGCUAAUUUGAGGGGUGGUCGGAGGGGUCCUGAUCCCGAAAUCCCGGGCUUAAAAUCAUGAAAUCCCGAGAUGCAGAAUUUAAAGAAAUUCAUAUCCCGAAAUCCCGAAAUUUAAAAAUAUAUUCCCGGAUUCCGUAAGGAUCAAUCCCCAAAUCCCGAGCUUAAAAACACCCGAUCCCGACGCCCCGAAAAAGGUCCUGCCUCCCUCUAAUCGCUACCUUACUUUCAUUUUUGCCAAAUCACUAUUUUCCCUUUCA